AGUGGCCUAUGAUGAAUGAUUAUUGCCUACAUUGUCAGAUUGUCUAAUUCAUGAUGGAUACAUAUAGCUCUGAGGCCUUG